UGAUAGCUGUGAAGCGUGAGGUUGCCGGCUUUGCCGGGUAAUUCCGUGGAGCGAAUGUCAUGAGUUCAUUCUGGCGACAA
rnacentral:ncRNA from 1 species